UACGAAGGGGGCUAGCGUUGCUCGGAAUCACUGGGCGUAAAGCGCACGUAGGCGGAUUGUUAAGUCAGGGGUGAAAUCCUGGAGCUCAACUCCAGAACUGCCUUUGAUACUGGCGAUCUCGAGUCCGGGAGAGGUGAGUGGAACUGCGAGUGUAGAGGUGAAAUUCGUAGAUAUUCGCAAGAACACCAGUGGCGAAGGCGGCUCACUGGCCCGGUACUGACGCUGAGGAGCGAAAGCGUGGGAGCGAACAGG
rnacentral:rRNA from 1 species